GUGAACUUUGAAACACACCGCAUAUUAGCACAACAAUUGAGCAUAGAAGUCACUUGUUGGCCUCACCAAAUGGCAACCUUCAAGAUGAAUCUUGGUCCCUUCUUUUUGGUGGCUCUCAUGGUACUGGCUACUAUUGUGUCCCCAUGCCAUGCGAACAAUGAGAUACAUGCAGAUGCAAUACCACUACCUGAAAGUUGCUAUCCAAUGAAGUUUCCUAAAUGCACUAACAAGGCGUGCUACAAGUAUUGCAUAAACCCUGGAGGCUACUGCAAAGAUGUUGAUUAUUGUUGUUGCCCUAUGGAAUAAACACCACUCAACCCCCGAGAUGAAACUUUUGGGUUGUCGUUUUUAACCUAUGAAUAAAGAAAGCUUGCUAUUUUAUUUUCAUUA